UACAUGUCUUGCUCCAAGGACACAAGAAAGAGCAUUCACUGUGGCAAGAAAAUGUUAUUUGUUAUGUACAAACCCCUUCUCCUUUCUAAGAAAAAUAACUCUAAAAUUCCCCUCUGUUUGCUGAAAGGAGAGAUGAGUAUGAGGAUGCAAGGUUGGAGAGACUCGGAGAAUGGCAGAGACCAUGAGGUAAGAUGACCUCUGUCAUAUACUCGUACUAUGACACACUGUGACACUACAGGCCCAGCUCAACAGGGCCAAGCACCAUGGACUGAAACUCAGAAAAGAGUAGGUAAGCCAGAAUAAACCAUUCCUCCUUUUAA